GAAUCGAAUAGAGGAGCGACUACAAAAUAGUAAUUUCUUUCUUAAAGACUUUGAAAGAAAUGAAAGGUAAGAGUCGCCGAAACCUUCUUAGUACUAUUAGUCGAAUAGGAAAAGUUGAGUUGGGACGCAUGAGAAUAUCUUGCGUACUCGGCGGAUAGAAAGUAUCCGAUUGGCACUAUUGAUACG
rnacentral:ncRNA from 2 species